rnacentral:rRNA from 1 species
UACAGAGGUCUCAAGCGUUGUUCGGAUUCAUUGGGCGUAAAGGGUGCGUAGGUGGCGCCGUAAGUCAGGUGUGAAAUUUCGGAGCUUAACUCCGAAACUGCAUUCGAUACUGCUGUGCUUGAGGACUGGAGAGGAGACUGGAAUUUACGGUGUAGCAGUGAAAUGCGUAGAGAUCGUAAGGAAGACCAGUGGCGAAGGCGGGUCUCUGGACAGUUCCUGACACUGAGGCACGAAGGCCAGGGGAGCAAACGGG